rnacentral:rRNA from 1 species
CCUACGGGAGGCAGCAGUGGGGAAUAUUGCACAAUGGGCGCAAGCCUGAUGCAGCAACGCCGCGUGAGGGACGACGGCCUUCGGGUUGUAAACCUCUUUUAGUAGGGAAGAAGCGAAAGUGACGGUACCUGCAGAAAAAGCACCGGCUAACUACGUGCCAGCAGCCGCGGUAAUACGUAGGGUGCAAGCGUUAUCCGGAAUUAUUGGGCGUAAAGAGCUCGUAGGCGGUUUGUCACGUCUGCUGUGAAAACUGGAGGCUCAACCUCCAGCCUGCAGUGGGUACGGGCAGACUAGAGUGCGGUAGGGGAGAUUGGAAUUCCUGGUGUAGCGGUGGAAUGCGCAGAUAUCAGGAGGAACACCGAUGGCGAAGGCAGAUCUCUGGGCCGUAACUGACGCUGAGGAGCGAAAGCAUGGGGAGCGAACAGGAUUAGAUACCCUGGUAGUCCAUGCCGUAAACGUUGGGAACUAGAUGUAGGGACCAUUCCACGGUUUCUGUGUCGCNGCUACGACAUAAGUUACCCGUCCGUCGGGAGGUACGGCCGCCGACGGACGUAAACUUAAACUAGUAAGUUAGUACGGCGUGAGACGUCGCCGACGGACGACCGACGAGGGAGGUUAGG